rnacentral:lncRNA from 10 species
GCAGACCACGUUAGAACCUCGGCUCCUGGAGUAGCAGAACCUCGGCUUCAAUGGGACCCUCAUUUCAUAAAUGAAGAAACUGAGAUUCAAAGAGGGGAACUACCGAAGGUUACAGAGCGAGUUCGUGGAUGGGGAAACUGAGCCUCACAUGUAUGAAUUCCAGCAUAUAAGCAACAGACUCCAGAUUUGGACAUGUAUAUCUUAUUCCAGGCUUCCCAGAUGACCACCAAGGUGGAAGGGAUGAUGAUGUCCAGGCAGAAGGGAGCUAGGCCGGCCCAGGCUUUUCCUCUAGGCACAGCGGACUCCAGGUUCAGCCUUCCCGGAUGGUAAUGUUGCAUUCUGAAGAGCUACUUUCCCGCCAACUCAUCUCUGGACUUCUCUGGGGCCCAACUCUGGUUUCCUGCCUGCAGGAGGUCCCCUCUGACUUCCGACAGUAGAUGACCCUUCUGACUCACAGUUCUACUGCUGGGAAAUGCCUCCAGAGCUGCUGCCCACCCUCUCUGCAUCCCUCCAGGUCACUGGGUGUUGAGUCAGGGGAAGCAGGGAUACACACGGGCGGGAAACUCAGGUCUCCUAAAUGUCAGAGCCUCAGGACUUCGGCUACUCAGAAGUAGCUCCCUCCUGGGCCACCAGGGAGCAGCAGGGCAGCCAGCAUCCAGACAUCCCCCCUGGGUUCUGCUGCUCAGAGGCUAGAUGGAGAACCAAGGUGGGAAAAAGGCUUAAACCACAGCGUGGGGAGAUUUAGGUUAGAUGGGUCAGAGGAAGUUUAGGACAAGCCUUGCCCUUUUCAGUUUCUGUCCAGCUUCAGCACAGCCACUGCUUCCUCUCUUUGGUUUUUACCCAUCCCCCUCUCUCCCAUCACCUCUAUCCCCUUCCAGCUUUCCUUUCCUUCCCUCCUUCCCAAACCCCAGAGUUUCUCAGGAUUAGCUGCCCGUGUGCCUAUCUCCCCCACCCCCAUGCUUUCCUCACUGUCUCACAGAAACAGGCAAACACACACACAUGCAUACAACCAUGAGCUGGCCCUGAGAGUUCUCUGACUGGACUGGGGUUGGAGCCCCAGCUCUUGUCCUGAGCUGAGGCCCUUCCCCCAGGUAUCUUGGGGCUUCCAUCAUUUCUCUUGACAGGAGCUGUGGGCGUCUGGGCAGAUGGGAACCUGGGGGAGGUGUGGGGAGCCCUCUCUGAGGCAGGAAGCUCCCACGCUACUGUAGUUAAAAUAAUCCGGCAGCAACUUGGGGCAGCCAUCUGGGAUGCCCAGAUCUUCCAGGACACCCAGCUCUCAACAACAACCCUAUAGGAACAAAUCAAAAACCUAAGAGAUACUUAUAGGCCCUGGAAAUGUCUCCCAAAAGUGGCCUGAACUUGAGCCCUGUUUCCUUUUAUCUUCUUCAGGUUAGCACUGGGCAUUGGCAUUUGCAAAAAAACUCUAAGCAUUAAGCAAAACUUGUAGGAGUGGAAGAUACAGCGUUCUGGACCUCCAGUCCUAAUACCCAGCCACACCCCAGCAGCUAUGCAUGGUUCCAUGGGAGAGCAGGCAUAGCCCAUCCUGCUGGCAUAUAGUCCAGCCAUAUCUUCCAAUGCCCACCUGGAGACUAAGCCGAGUUCUGCCCAGCAACAGGAGCUCAGAGCUCCAGAGAGCCUCUCCUGGGGUGCAGACUCAGGAGAUCUUAGCUCAGGAGCAGACUUAGCCUGACUUCCUCUUUUAUAGGAGGAGACAGACUUAGUUACAGAGGAAACCAGAGUUGUUAUAAAUAGCAAGGAAGGGAGAAACCUGCUAUGGAUUACAAACACGCCAUCAAUCUUAAAACAAACUAUUUUUAGUUUCAAAUAAUAACGAGAGUCUAAUUAAUGCUCUGUAUAACUUCAAAUGUGGGAUCUUUAUCUGCCUUUCUACUUUGUGAUGCUUUCUAAUACAGUAUUAGGGCCAAAGGCAGGAAGAGAUGUGGGCAAUUCUCAAUGUUACCAAAUCCUAGAUAUGGAAAGAACCUGAGAAAUUUAGUCCAGCCCUUUCAUUUUCAGUGAAGAAACUCAGGCCCAGAGAGGUAAAAGGACUUGUCCAAAGUUGCAUAGUAAGGUAGGGACUGAGCAGUGACUAAAAGCCUAGUCCCUGUACUCCAGAAGCAGGACAGUUUCCACAGCAGCACAAUAGAACCCAAAGGCUAAACAUCUGUGGUUGGGCAGUUGGUGAGUUUAUAGCCUGGAUAAAAGUCAGGUCUAAGCCAGGUGUGGAGGCUCACGCCUGUAAUCCCAGCACUUUGGGAGGCUAAGGCAGGUGAAUCACUUGAGGCCAGGAGUUUGAGACCAACCUGGCCAACAUGGCAAAACCUCAUCUCUACUAAAAAGUACAAAAAUUAGCCAGAUGUGACGGCACAUGCCUGUAAUCCCAGCUACUCAGGAGGCUGAGGCACGAGAAUCGGUUGAACCCGGGAGGUGGAGAUUUCAGUGAGCCGAGAUCGCACUACUGCACUUCAACCUGGGGGACAAAGCAAGACUCUGUCUC